rnacentral:misc_RNA from 1 species
GAAUUUUGUAAGAUUCUAUCAUUCUCCUGUUAAAAUAGAAAGGAAAAAGAAUGUCACUGUAAUUUUCUAUUUUGACACCCAAGUGGAGCCACAGAUCGAGACCAACGAGCAUAAUAGAGAGAACCCACUUCGAAGAAAGUCGGGUCUUUGAAGAAAAAAGAAUCAAUCCCCAAUGAACGCUAACAAAGACAAUUUUUUUUUUUCCUUUUAAAAAAUUUCAUCUAAACCAUAUUCAAUGGUUAGGAUAGAAUCUAAGCUCUAAGAAUAAGCUGAUGAUGAUGAUAAUAGUUAUUAAAAAAUGUUGCUGUAAAUGUUAUGUAAUCCAUGCAUUCAUGCUUUUGGCUUUUUAAGUGUUUUGUGAUCUAGAGAUCACUGUUCUUCAACGAUGCAUCUAUAUUUGGAUGUUGCAGGGGUUGAGAUGUACAUUGGUGCGAAAAAAGUAACUUGUGAAGCUUCUCUUGAUAAGUAAGCAUGUUAUUUGCAUGUAUUGUGUCUGACCUUCCUUAUCUAAAAUUGCAAAGGGAGGAUGCAUGAUUUGAAAAUAAGAGAAGGCCUCCUCGAAUGUUUUCCCAUUUUAUGAGCUAGAAAGAGAAGAUUUAGGUGUGACAGAUUGUAUAUGUUUCCCCCUCAUUGAUAGAUUUCUAUUUGGUAAUUUUAGUUUCUCUUGCCCCAUUCUCUCUCUGGAGUCAUUAUUUUAAGAAUAGACCUGAAAACUGAACCUUCUCUAGGUGCAUCCUUACAUGGGCUUUCAGUUUGGAGACCAUCUAGCUUUUCUUAUACCAGUGAAGUUAUAUUUUUACAACUGAUUAACUUCUGAUCCUGAAAAUAGCUUAUGGAAUAUUACAUUUCUCCAUUGCCAUGUUUGUAGUCUUAAGUUCUAUGCUUUCAUUUUCUUUAUGUUCACAUGUUAUGUUCUACUUUCCUUCUUCCAACAAAAUGAGAUUCCUUUGGUCAUUUUUAUGCUUUCCUCCCUCUUUCUCUGUCGUAUUUGCUUGAGCUACUUAUUUGACAUCUUCCAGUUAUGUAGUUCCAAUUUCUGAUUAUCUUAUAUACACAUUUUCUUCUGUUGUUUCUUCUUUCAUAACAGGACACGGUGGGAGUGAUGGCCUU